GAUGACAUCAAAGUCCUCAUGGCCCUUAUGGGUAGGGCUUCACACGUAAUACAAUGGCGCAUACAGAGGGCUGCAAACCCGCGAGGGGGAGCCAAUCCCAAAAAGUGCGUCGUAGUCCGGAUUGUUCUCUGCAACUCGAGAGCAUGAAGUCGGAAUCGCUAGUAAUCGCGGAUCAGCAUGUCGCGGUGAAUACGUUCCCGGGUCAUGUACACACCGCCCGUCACACCAUGGGAGUGGGGUUCACCAGAAGGCGUUAGCCUAACCGCAAGGAGGGCGACGACCACGGUGAGCUUCAUGACUGGGGUGAAGUCGUAACAAGGUAGCCGUAUCGGAAGGUGCGGCUGGAUCACCAAUCUAGAUGCAUCGCAU
rnacentral:rRNA from 1 species